UAAUAGCUAAAACCUACCAUGUUACAUUUUCCUAAGCAGAUUCUCCUUCUUGAUCCCAAAACUACAGGUAACACUAUUUUAAAACAAAGUUAAUUACCCACUAGUACACACAUCAAACUUAGGGAUGCGCUUGGGUUUUUACUUUUAGCAUUUGGAACUUCUGAAGGGGAGCACGUAUUUAGAACAGAGGUUAACUUCUGAAUCCAUCCUGAAUUUGGCUCUCUGCCCUUAAUCACAUAUAGCUGUAAUCCUGACAGUGUAUGCCACAUGAUAUUUGGACUUAAUACUUCUACAUAUAUUCAUUAUGUGUAUAUUAAUGAAAAAAAUAUACAUAGUGCAAACAUUUUGGAGGUAACAUAGCCUAAUUUUUCACUCCUAAAUACUCUUUUUCCAUGCUUUCAUGUUUAUUGGUAAUAACAUUUGAAAAGGUUUUUAAUUACAGUCUAACAACUUGUUACUGUAUGUUUAAAAUAUACUUUAAAAGAUCAUAAUAUUGCAUAGUUAAGACCAUGGAUUAGCCAACUCAUUCUGUGAAGACUCAUAGUACAUAUUUUAGGAUUUGCAGGCCACAAUCUGUUGCAACUACCUAACUUUGCCAUUGUAGCAUAAAAGUAGCCACCGCAAAUGAUACUGAACAAUUAGGUGAGGCUGUUAGUGAAAUUUUUACAAAAACAGACUAAAAAAAUGGUGGUUUAUAUAUCUGCUCACUUGGACUUAAUGGUUCCAAAUUCACUAAACUCUGGAUCAAUAGAACUUGUGUCUCAUACUGACAUGAACUUGGUACUUGGGUAGGGUGAGGUCACUAUCAUUGCCAUGUACCUGAAAGGAGAGCUGGCAUGCCUGGCCAGCUGUCUCCCCACCCCUGCUGCUUUCUACCUCGGGACCCAGUGAGCUCCAAGUAAAGCAAAGGGAACAGCUGCUCCCUGGGCUGUUGUAAGGCCUACAUGUGAAGCAUUUAGCCAUGUAGACUUGCUAUGAUGUGUACAUGUGCUUGAAUAGAUAGAAGUAAAUUGGUAUAACAUCUGUGUCAGAUAAAUGUACAGCAUGGAAAAUGGAAGUAAUUAGUAACCAAUAAGUGACAUUACACCACUGACCAGACUGUGUUACCAGUGAAGUGCUGAGGUAGACAUAUGGUUUGUGCUAACGGAGUACACAAUUUCAUAAACAAAGGCAAAGUAGGGGGUGUACCAAGUGUGUAGUAUGAAGAUGGGGAAAAGAUCACACUGUGGGGGCUGGGGAUG
rnacentral:lncRNA from 1 species